rnacentral:rRNA from 1 species
UACGUAGGGGGCAAGCGUUGUCCGGAGUUACUGGGCGUAAAGCGCGCGCAGGCGGCUCACCAAGUCUGGCGUGAAAGCCCCCGGCUCAACCCGGGGAGGGUCGUCGGAGACUGGUGGGCUUGAGGGCGGUAGGGGCUGGUGGAAUUCCUGGUGUAGCGGUGAAAUGCGCAGAUAUCAGGAAGAACACCUAUGGCGAAGGCAGCUCUCUGGGACGGUACUGACGCUGAGACGCGAAAGCGUGGGGAG